CUUUUUUUUUUUUUAUUCUUGAUUCUGUUUCAAAUCUACUUCUAAGAACAAAAAAAUAGAAAUUUGAUUCCGGGAACAAAAAUUUUACCAAACGCGAUUCUGUUCCCAAACUACUCCCGGGAACAAAGAAUCAGAAUCUGGCCCUGUUUGAAUGGUUACCAAACAGGGCCUAAGAAUCAUCUAAUACAUCACAUAGAGAUUGAAACUGGUAUUUAACUCGAAAAUGAUGAUAUUGAAUCUCUAUUCUCUACAGAUGAAGAACCAUCUGAACAAACUCUCAAUGUCCUUCUAAACACUUCUUCUUCUUCUUCUUCAGUCUAGUAGGAUCCUCUGAGAAAUGCAGCUCGGAUAGUUAAAAAUGUUGCCAUCCUCGCACCUUUGAGUGUCUUUAGGCCCUGAACUAAAAGUCUAAAUAGUUUUAUGCUAAAAGGCUAUCCCUAAAGGGCUUAAACAAGAUGUUCUCCUAUUGUGGGAAGACAUAUUUGUAAGAAAUUGACUCUGUCUUCCCUAGUUCUAAGCCUAGGUCCAUUCAUCGUGGAAGAGUAGCAAUGAAUUUUAUUAUAGAUCAAGCAAUACAAUGGAGAUUAUAAUUAGACUCAAGUCACUCAAACACUUUCAUUAUUUUCAAAAUCCUAAUUACACUCAAUAACUCACCAAAUGUCUAGCCCCACAAACGAACACGCACGAAGUUGGGCUUCAACUCUCUUCUAUUGCACUCAAAGUGCCCGCGCCCCAUUCUCUUACUUCUUCGGACUAGCAAAACUUACUAAUUGUCUUAUUCACACGGAAUAUCUGUGCCCGUAUAUUUUGUCUUUAUCCUGCCAUUUUAAUAGGAAGAGUCCAACGUGCAGCAAUUUGAUAAAGAAAAGUCAAGCGUGGUCAAACCUUAAUAUUUAUCCAGCCAAAUAAAGACAAAUCUCCACGUAUACAUCUAUAUACCCUCCCAGAGAUUCUUUGAAUUUCUUUCCUAAUAAAUUGGGUUGACAAGCCAAUCUACAUCCUCGGAUCAAGUCGGGUUCUGUACAAUGACUCAAACUCAAAGCAUAAUAUGAACAAAAAUCCCUCUGCAAUAGCUGCACACAUCGAAACCGGUGUUAUGAGAAAAUGCAGAACUAGAACAAUGUUCCCCAAAGUAAGUUUAACCAAUUUUAAUUGGACCUAAAAUUGGUCCUAAGGAUGAUUGUCACUUGUUAUUAGAAUAAACCGUUUGGUUCUUGAAAAAGCUAGUGCUCAAAAUGGAACAAACCACAGUCUGUUAUGUGAUACUUGACGAAGAGCCUUGAUACAUGCAUUAGACAGAAUCAAUUUAUAGAUAAAGUUGCGUGCUAACUGACUAUUUGUUCAACAAUUGUUGCCUUGUCAAGGGGAAAUUAAACGAGCAUGGCAAUGAAUAAUUUGGUUGUGCAUGUGGUAUAUGAUCGAUGUCUUAACUUAAUCAUACCCACCAGAUACACUUGAAAGAUACCAACCAAAUUCUACCCUAUGCGACGCAAACAUAAUCCUAACAACUGAUUAUAGUAAUGCUAGUGUCCCUAUGCAGGAAUAGUUAAUUUCUUGUACUAAACGUUUACCUCGAUCAAUUGCGAACAUGAAGUUUCCAAUCUCUGAGCUCUAUUCAAUGAAAAAGCCCACUACAGAGCACCAUCAUCAGCAACAAGAAGGCACUGUCGCUCGACUCAACACUGAUUCUUCUCACCGCGUUCCCUCUUUAUUUGUUUGUCAUCAGCUAGCUUCCAGAUAUCCAACCAUCAAUGGAGUUCAAAAGAAGAGAGCAAGUGGAGAAGAGAUGCGACGCGUUUAGAAUGGGUCGAUAACCCCAAUGGCAUGUACUAUACCAAUGUGAAUUGACCUUCGAUCAUUGAUCAGCACAACUAUCCGAAAUUUGGAUUCCCGACACUGAGUUCUUGAAGGGAAGGUGGAAUCCUAAAGGGCGUGAGCUGCCUCAGUUCAACGCGGGCCAAUUCUUGGAGAUGGUUCGAGGGAAAUCGAUCGUGUUUGUUGGCGAUCCGAUAGGAUGGAACCAAAUGCAGCCAUUGUUAUGUCUUCUGGGUGGUGUAAGUGCUCUCAGCGUCAGCAUGACAACAUUUCUAUUUCUUUAAUUUUUUUCUUCGGAAAAGAUUUGCAACAUAAAUCUAUUUGAUAAUGCAGUUUCAUUUUCUUAUUUUUGGAAUAGAUUUCUAUUCUAGAAAUAAAUUUAAAGUAGAAAUCAGAAGCUAAAUUUUUAGCUUUUCUAUUUUUGGAACAAAAUUGAGAAAUAAAAAUUAUUCUCAUAAUUCACUCUUGUCACUAGCCGCUGCCCACUCGCUACCAUGGGACGUCGGCUGCUUGCCACCGGAUGUUAGCCGCCACCACCGAGAAAUAAAAAUUUAUUCUGUUAUCAAACAAAUUUCUGUUUCAGAAACAGAAAUUUUGAAUCGUUAUUAAGUGCGUUUCUUUGUUUAAAAACUCGUCUAGGGAAUAGAAAUUGAGAAAUUAAUUUCCGAUCAGAAAUUGAUUUCUGGAAUAGAAAUGUUAUCAUGUGUGCUCUUAAUUUCUUGGCUUUCGUAGCAUUUGCAUUUAAGGGCCUCCUUUGGCUAGUAAACUUAUUUGCAUAGUGACUAAUGCUUCAGCUAUUGUCACGAGUCGACAAUUCUUUGGUUGCGAAAUAACCCGUGAAGCACCCGGUGAGCCGACAACACCAAGCCAUUCUUCCUCCUUUAGUUAUUCGUAAGAACAGUACGGCAAAUUGCAUUUUCGUAUCGAAUCAUACCCCGCUUAGUAUAGCUUGGUAAUCCAAUCCAUGGAGCGAGAUAGCAUAUCACUUUGGGCAUAAUAACUAGUUUCAACUUUCAACCUAUUAUGACCUUAUCAAGAGAGUGGCAUCAACUCUCGAUCAGUUGUGCACGAGGAGCAAACCUGCAUUCGGAGCUCCGAAGGAUAUAUUCGUUCUAUCCUAGAAUUCUUAAUAUCAACCGUCCCGACACAACUCUCAUAGACUAGUUGUAUCCAUGUCCUUUACAUCACUAUCUCUUCAAUCAAUAACCCCAUCGUCCACUCAUAAGGGCACACAAGUAUGGGAAAAAUCAUGGACCUUGACAUUCUCUCCUACUCAUUUUUGCAACACCCUCAUCACAGGAUGUUCUGUCGGUUCCUUGUGUUUCCCAACCAUCAAUACCAUUCCCUGGGACUUACAUAGAUGGCAAUGCUUGUCUAACAAAAUAGGCCACCCUGCUCCAUUAGCAGCUUCCCUCAAUUAACGUCGAUCGCAAAUCUUCAGUCAUUUGUGCUCCUUGACAAGUAUGGCAUCCCCAACCAACUAUGCUCCCUUGGUAACACCUUCUUUCCCCUACUUAACUCCUCCUGAUCUCUGUAGACCAAUGGAGGGUUCUCCCCUUGUUGGAAAUGUGAUAAUAGACCUCUUCUUAAGAUUCGUCGAUUGAUCUGGGAACGUUAUCCCUAUCUAGUGAGCAAUUCAGUCCCUUCCCAUACCCCAUUGCCAUUCUAGAAGGUAGACGAGAGCUGCACGUUGUUCAAGCCCUCUUGGCCUCGACAAUCACUCUCUGCCCUCGUAGGCUUUCCCUAAAUCAACCACCUACUGGAGGGAUCUUGCUCUAAUGUCAUUUGUCAUGAGUCGACAGUUUCUUGGCCGUGGAAUAACCUGUAUGGCGCCUGGUGAGCCAAGAACACCAGCUCAACCUUCCUUCUUUAAUUAUUCUCAAGAUAACCUGUAUGGUGCCUGGGGAGCCAAGAACAUUAGCUCGGCCUUCCUUCUUUAAUUAUUCUCAAGAAUAGUCUAGUGAAUUGCAUUUCCAUUUUGGAUUGUACCAUGCCCAUAUAGCUUGGGCAUCCAGCACAUUAACUGGUUUCGGUCUACCAUGGUCUCAUUAAGAGAGCUAGAUUAACUCUCAACCAGUUUGUGCAUGUGAGGACAAUGUUGCAUUCGGAGCUUCAUUGAGAUAUAUUUGUUCUAUCUUAAAACUCGUUGCACCAACUAUCCUAAUGCCACUCUCACGGACCAAUUGUUUUCAUCUCCUCUAUAUCAACUCACUCUUUAUCCGAUAAUCACAAGCUCCACUCACAAAGGCACAUGAGUAUGGGAGAAUCAUGGAUGCUGACACAAGCAUGCAAGGUUGUGUUCAAUACUUUUUCAGUGAUGAUGAUUCGAAUUGAAGCUAAUUAUGUAGGUCUUGGUUCGGACGCUAGCACAUUUGCUCUUGAAAAUGGCAUUUCUUUGACUUCUCUAGGAAAGAAUGUGGCCGAAAUGAAGAAGUCUUUUGUUUCUAAUGAUGUGGAAUUCUAGAUUUGGAAAUGACGAUUGGAUUAUAUUUUUUAAUGCUAUAAGAAAUAACGAGACUAUUUACGGGCGACAGAAUAAAGCUCAAGGGACACGAUUUCGAGUAUUCCGAAAUGCUUUCUAGUGUAACUUCAACACUCAGCAUAUAAUAUAUGUUAUGUUUUCGACCCAAAAAAAAGUAGAGGAGUUCAGGGUGGCCGAAAGGGGGGAAUGGAGAGGGACUUGACAUUUUGACUUCUGGAUACCAUCGAGGCCUGAUCCUUAGACCGAUGGAUGCCUCAAUCGACGCGGGCGUUUGUCGGAUUGGAACAUGACGGUGGUCGAUUGCGAGCACUGGUGCGUGCCUGGUCCUAUCGACAUGCGGAACGAUUUCUUUUUCCAUUUUAUGAAGUUGGAAUGUCGAGUGUCUCUUCAGGUCAAAAGAAGGGUGCGUGAUAAUGAUGAUGGGGAAAAAUGAACCCUUUCGUCCUCACUUGAAUACUCAUAACAUGCAUCAUAUUUCGAGAGCAACGAAAUUUCAUAUGAUAAAUCUAUCCACAUAUAUCAGUAAAAUCUAUAUAGGUAACUCUAUCAAUAUAAUUUUAGAAUCCGUGCUAUCUUCGAAUUUGGUAAAAUUGGUUACUUGAGUUUUUCUCUUUAAUUGAUACUUUCUUGCCGAGCCGAAUUGCGUGACCUGCCCUUUUUCUUUUCCAAAGGGAAGUGAAAGAAGGAUUGGAGUUUGAACAUCCUCGACGAUUAUAUCUGCAGCAAAUGUCGUUCGAAAGCCAUUCCAUUACCUUUUUUGUUCUUCUCAUCACUUUGCCUUUAUCCUAAGAAACAAAUUUAGCAGGUCCUUCAAGGCUCUUUCCUCUCUUGCAUGUACAUCCUAUCUUUUUUAAUCUUCCACACCAUCUUCCAUGACUCUACCUUCACUAGUUCUGUCUCCCUUCCUUGCCUUCGAAAAAUUCUAGGAGUUCCCGGACGUUGAUCCUUUACUUACUUCCGAUUCAUAUUCCCAAAUCCAUUUUAAAUUGCCUUCCCCGUCCCUUCCUCAACUUCACUUCCAAUCCAAUCCCCUUCCAACUCUCUCUUUCCACUCGAAAGGAGAAAAAAACAUCGAUAUCGACCAGCUCCAUUUCCAUCGUUCCCGUCCUCAUCCCAAGUCUUCAUUUAAUUUCUCCUGGUAAACACCUCCUUCCCUUUUCGAUCCCAUCAAAAAAAGACCCUCGAGAUGGAGAAAAAGCCAGCGGGCAAUCAAUUCCUAGUGAUUCAGUUGCCACGAGUUGAAAACAUUAUACCUUAAAGAGUUCUUUCACUCCUCAGGUUUGAUUUUCCUACUUCAUUGUAAUAAUCAAUUUCCCUCUUUUUCUCAAUUUUCUCUAGUGAGUCAUCCCUAGUUGAGGAAAAAUAAAACGAAAAAAGAAAAAAAAAAGAAAAGGAAAUAUCUAUUAAACGCUGGUAACGAACCCACCAACCACCUAACAGAUAAUUAAUUUAAAUAAUGGGGAAGAGAUUUCUGCGAAAAGUCGAAAUCUUCGUCUGCAAGCCUUUUGGCAAACGCCGUCCUUCUCCUCCUCCUCCUCCUCCAUCUCCACCACCUUCGUCACUGCCGUCGCCGCCGCCGCCGCCCCCCACGUCUCCGCUGAAGCCCAAGUUCCCCUUUGUCUUCCCACGCGCCGAGUCCACGGUCCUCCCCGAUCCUUCUCCCUUCUUCUCACCGAGCCUCCUCUCUACCCCGCUCCGGACGAACUCUUUCUUCCAGAACUUUGCUCUCAACAAUGGCGACCAGGCUGAGUACAUUCACCCCUACCUUGUCAAGCCCUCCCCGUCCUCUGUCUCCAUCUCGUUCCCUUCUUGCGUCGCCUCCUCCGCCUCUUUGUACCAGGUGUUCAACGCCGACCUCACUGUCUCCGCUAUUUCGGGGGACGCCGCUGGACACGGCGUGGUGCCAGAGGCACCACAGCACAUAAUCUCGUCGUACAGCGACCUCAGCGUCACUCUGGACUUUGUGACUUCGAACCUAAGGUUCGUCCUCGUCAGGGGGAGCCCCUACUUGACCUGCUUGGUCGACCACGGGACGGAGGUUGCGAUCUCAACUAUUCACGCCAUCCUCUCGCUCUCUUCGAACAGUAGCCGCACCAAGCAUACUUUGAAGCUCAACAACAAUCAGACUUGGCUUGUUUACACUUCCUCGCCGAUCAGUUUCAGUCACAGUCUCAAUGCCAUUACUUCCUGUUGACAUUCGAUUUUUUGUCGACAUAUUUUGCAAGAAAAAUAUAAAAAAAUAAAGAGCCAAAAAAAUGAAUGAAAAAGAAUGAAAACAUUAAAAAAAAAUGUAAAGAAAACAAGAAAAAAAAGAAAACAAAAAUAAAAAAAAGGGAAAAAACGCUGAAAAAAAAAUAUAAAGGCUCGCUCAUUUUUUGGCGCCGGGGGGGGGGGGGGCUCACUUUUUUUGCGCGAAUUCUCUCUCGGGGACUCUCCCGCUACAUUUUCUCUCUCUAUCAAACUCUCUCUGGAGGGGACGCUCUCGAUGGGUGACAAUUUCUCUCUGUAACUGCUCGAUGGAGCUUCCAUGGCAGAUCUUGAAACCCUAGCCUCGCUCGCUGUCUACCGGAGGGAGCUUCUGCCUCCAUCUCCAGCGGUUCUCCGUCGAGCUCCCGACUUCGCUCUGUUCGAUUCUUGAAAUCUCCAGCACGCAGCAAAUCCCCUCGCCGAACAGAGCUUCCCUUUCCUUCGUCACUCUCUCUCGGAUUCUCUCUCUGGUUGGCUCGAUUGCGGCGACAUCGGCGAAGAAGGUGGUGGCGAUAGCAACGACGACGAUGGCGACAGAUGCUCUCUCUACAACGGUUCCUCCACUCCGAGAUCUGAUCGUCUCCAAAAUCCUAUCUCAGCUUGAUUCCGCCAUCGAUUCGACCUCUUCUAUUCAUCAUCAACCACCCGAGCUCUUGUCGAAGGCUAGGGUUUUCUCUCGUUAGCGGGGAUCAGAGAUCGAAGGCCGGUGGUGUGGGAUUGCGAGGAUCGGGUUCUUGCUCAUGGAUCAGAGAUGAGUUCUUUCUGUUUUCUCUCCUCGGUUCUCUCCCACGGAAGUUCGGUCUGCAAAUUUCUCUCUCUCGCUUAGAGGUGCAGGGAGCUCAGAUCUGAAGCUGAUCGGCGGUGACAGCGGUUCCCGAUCUGCGGCUUGAUUCGGCUCUCCACCGGAUCCGACGCCUAACCCCUGUUCGCUCGGCUCUCAGUCCUCUGGUGCAGAGGCUCGCCGGUGAUCUCUCUCUCUAGGGUGGCCGGAUCGGCGACAGCUAUGGGGACGACGACGUUUAACCGAGUUUCUCUCUAGAUCGAGCUCACCAGGGCGGUGAACUCUCUUUCCCUCUUUCUCGAUCUUCGUUCUCUCUGACUCGAACAUUUUCUUUCGGCUCUGUCUUGCGCGCUAGAUUUGACUUGCUGGAACGGCUGGUCGAGGAGCCCGGAGUUUAGAGUUCAGAUAGCGUCGACGGCAGCGACGACUUACGAUCCUUCGCCGAUUCAUUCAAGGUACGUUGAACAUAAAUUCAUCUUCCAUAUCCGGAUGUUCAUUGUGUUGAACAGUGACUGAGGAUUCUAAUUUCUGUUUGUGAGAAACUUACCUAUUAUCGAAGUUCAUUGGGUAAUCUAAGCCCGUAAUA
rnacentral:lncRNA from 1 species